rnacentral:rRNA from 1 species
AGUAACGCGUGAGGAACCUGCCUCAAAGAGGGGGACAACAGUUGGAAACGACUGCUAAUACCGCAUAAGCCCACAGCUCGGCAUCGAGCAGAGGGAAAAGGAGUGAUCCGCUUUGAGAUGGCCUCGCGUCCGAUUAGCUAGUUGGUGAGGUAAUGGCCCACUAAGGCGACGAUCGGUAGCCGGACUGAGAGGUUGAACGGCCACAUUGGGACUGAGACACGGCCCAG